AUUCCAGAUGCUCUCACUUUCAUCCAAUAACAUUUCUGUUUCACUUUUCCUUCACUUCACGUAGAUAUCACCUUCUUUCACUUUCUCUCUGGCAAAAAACACAACCUACUUCCACCAGAUAACCACUAAAACAACCUCCAUAAUCCACCAUAUCCGAUCCGUUAACAAAACUGGAUCUACUUUUCAUUUCAACACUAACACAAACUCAACAACAACCAACAACCGUGACAACAAUAUUCUUGUUCUCUCAUUUAUGCAACUAUGAAUCUGACCGAUCCGGACAUCUCACGACACCCAGGCGCACAAACCUGCUCUUCAACCGUCAAAGCACAACCAUUACCAAGUCGUGAUCUGGAUUCGUUGCCUUCAAAUCUACUGGACUUAAGUGCUCUACUAUUAGAGUAUUUCGUCAGCAUGAGUCUUUCAAACCCACAAUCAAAAUAAGGUCAAAAAGCAUUUCGUCAGAGCUGAAAUGGAAUACAGUGGCAAAUAUGCUUUAUCUUGAUUCUCCUGCUGGGUUGGUUUUUCUUAUUCCACCAACACUUCUGACAUUUGCUGGUUACUCAUGAAAUGACAGCAAGGGAUCAACUUGUUUUCCUUCAGCAUUGGUUCAAUAAAUUCCUAGAGUUCAAGACAAAUGAAUUCUUCAUUGCAUGAAAGAGUUAUGCAGGUCACUUUACACCUCAGCUUGCACAACUCAUCCUAAAAACAAAACUCGAAGGCAAAAUCAAAAGUCAGAUCAUAAAGCAUUUGGUCAGAGUUGUAAUGCAAACGCAAGAGAUGAAUUUGAAAUUACUAUUAAUAUCUUCUUUUGUCUGGUUUUCACCAUGUUCUUUUCAUCACCUUCUCUACUAUAUAAACAUUUCUCUUCUCCUCCACUUCCAUCAUUUUAAAUUAUUAUUUUCCAAACAAUAAUUUUACUAUUCACACACGGCACUUUUCAAACAAUUCAAACAAACAAGUGAGCUAAGCAAUUAAGAGCCCAUGGAUAACCAUGGAUGCAAAGGGUGCCUUACGCCUUCCCUUUGUAUAACCUACCCCCCGAACUCGAAGUCUUUUCAAAAGGUCUUUCCUGCUCUUUUAGCCUUUCCAAUUGGAUAAAAUAAAAGUCGGUGGCGACUCAUGCUAUCCGCAACAUUUCGAAUAAAGUCAGUUCACCGUAUUACACAUAUCAUCAAAAGGUUCCUUAGUGAACCAGAUACACCCUACUCGAACCCUGAAUCCACCCUUCUUUGAUUCGGGACAAGUUACCAAUCCACCCUACUCGGAUUGUAACUUGCCUCUUUCAUCAACAACAAUGACAUCAUGAAUGCAUGUCAAACACGCCAAUUCAACAACAACAUAAUUUUUAAAAUUCCCUCCCGACAAUAACAAAAACAUGCAUUGACCUAUAAUAAUAGUCCUCCUUACUCGGAUUAUUAUUCACCAAUUACAACAACAACAUCAAUAUUAUUCUCAACAUCAUAACAUAACAACAUCAUAAUCAACAUUAUAAUCAUGAUACACAA